GAGUUCAGAUGUGUGCUCUUCCCCUCUUGUGAUCAUCUCUAGUUGCAUCCAUGUUGCUGCAUAUGGCGUUAUUUUGUUCUUUUUUAUGGCUGAGUAGUCAGACCUUAAUUAGUUUUCACCAUUUUUUAUGUGGACUCAACUUUUGUUUGUUUUUGUUUUGGUGUAUAGUUUCAAGGAAUUUUAUCACAUGUUUAGACUUGUGUAGCUACCACCACACACAGGGUACAGAGCAAAUGCUGUUUAUUUAAAGUCUUUUCACUUCACUUCAUGAUUCUUGUCCCCCAAACUGUUUUCAGUCUAGCUAGAUCCAUGGUAAGAAAGUGAAAAGCCUUCGGUUCGGGCUUCC